CAGUCGCCGCGGUAAUACGAGGGGAGCUAGCGUUGUUCGGAAUUACUGGGCGUAAAGCGCGCGUAGGCGGCUUUUUAAGUCAGAGGUGAAAGCCCGGGGCUCAACCCCGGAAUUGCCUUUGAAACUGGAAAGCUAGAAUCUUGGAGAGGUCAGUGGAAUUCCGAGUGUAGAGGUGAAAUUCGUAGAUAUUCGGAAGAACACCAGUGGCGAAGGCGACUGACUGGACAAGUAUUGACGCUGAGGUGCGAAAGCGUGGGGAGCAAACAGGAUUAGAUACCCCGGUAGUACCUGUCUCUUAUAC
rnacentral:rRNA from 1 species